rnacentral:rRNA from 1 species
GCUUGCUUUCUUUGCCGGCGACCGGCGCACGGGUGAGUAACACGUAUCCAACCUGCCCUUUACUCGGGGAUAGCCUUUCGAAGGAAAGAUUAAUACCCGAUGGGAUAAUUAUUCCGCAUGGUUUGAUUAUUAAAGGAUUCCGGUAAAGGAUGGGGAUGCGUUCCAUUAGGUUGUUGGUGAGGUAACGGCUCACCAAGCCUUCGAUGGAUAGGGGUUCUGAGAGGAAGGUCCCCCACAUUGGAACUGAGACACGGUCCAAACUCCUACGGGAGGCAGCAGUGAGGAAUAUUGGUCAAUGGGCGCUAGCCUGAACCAGCCAAGUAGCGUGAAGGAUGAAGGCUCUAUGGGUCGUAAACUUCUUUUAUAUAAGAAUAAAGUGCAGUAUGUAUACUGUUUUGUAUGUAUUAUAUGAAUAAGGAUCGGCUAACUCCGUGCCAGCAGCCGCGGUAAUACGGAGGAUCCGAGCGUUAUCCGGAUUUAUUGGGUUUAAAGGGAGCGUAGGUGGACUGGUAAGUCAGUUGUG